CAAACGUUUACUGAGCGCCUUCAACUUGCCAGGCACUAAUUAGACUAGCGCAGAGAAACGGGGAUAAGUACUGAUGAGGGUCCCAGCCCUCAGCGAUCGGAUUUCAGAGGGGGAGAUAAAGGACUGCCCAGAAGGGUGGUGAGUGGAGUAGUUGAUAUAAACAACGAGGUGCGAUGAAAUACACAGGAGGGCUGCUAAUCACAUAUGGGGUGGGUGCCGAGGGCCCUUAAUUAAGGGAGGCUUCCUGGACGGGUGACACCCAAGCGGAGUCCUGACGACCCGCGUCAGAAGUAGUCAGGCGAGGAGGAGGGUAAAGGAAUCCACGUCCCAAGCAGAGAAGCAGCUUUCCCUACACAGCACAGGACACGGUCCGCGCACAGAAGCCGCAGGAGACGCAGGCACAGGGGCUGGGGAGAAUCCUUGCUGGGCCCUCGCCGUCCAUGCGCCGCCUCCCUCUGCCCGGUGUCUGGUGUCAGCCUCCUGCCUGGCAGAGGAACUCCAGCCCCUGCUCCCCGAAGCUCCUCCAGGCCUUCUGCUUCCCUGACUCGGAAUGGGCCCGCUGUCCAGUGGGUACAAGGCUGGUCUCCCCGCCCACUGGUGACGACGUAAAGAUCCAGCUCAGCCUGGUUUCC
rnacentral:lncRNA from 10 species